GAUGAACGCUGGCGGCGUGCCUAAUACAUGCAAGUCGAGCGAACAGACGAGAAGCUUGCUUUUCUGAUGUUAGCGGCGGACGGGUGAGUAACACGUGGAUAACCUACCUAUAAGACUGGGAUAACUUCGGGAAACCGGAGCUAAUACCGGAUAAUAUUUUGAACCGCAUGGUUCAAAAGUGAAAGACGGUCUUGCUGUCACUUAUAGAUGGAUCCGCGCUGCAUUAGCUAGUUGGUAAGGUAACGGCUUACCAAGGCAACGAUGCAUAGCCGACCUGAGAGGGUGAUCGGCCACACUGGAACUGAGACACGGUCCAGACUCCUACGGGAGGCAGCAGUAGGGAAUCUUCCGCAAUGGGCGAAAGCCUGACGGAGCAACGCCGCGUGAGUGAUGAAGGUCUUCGGAUCGUAAAACUCUGUUAUUAGGGAAGAACAAAUGUGUAAGUAACUGUGCACAUCUUGACGGUACCUAAUCAGAAAGCCACGGCUAACUACGUG
rnacentral:rRNA from 1 species